rnacentral:tRNA from 1 species
AAAUCUUAUUAAUUUUAAACUGCAAAUUUAAAAAAGAAUCCAUUUCUAAGAUUUU